rnacentral:misc_RNA from 1 species
UAACUAUUAUAUAGUACUCAGACAAUAUGAACAAACAGAGUUUUAGGUCCUCUGGCGGGCACUGACCAGCCGAAGCCGGUGGUCCGAGGACGGGCCCGCCAAAGCAACAAAGGUAUAAUAAACAAAGGGUGGGAGGUAUACCCCGAAGGGCAACGUCUCUUUAAUGAUCCUUCCGCAGGUUCACCUACGGAAA